GAUGAACGCUGGCGGCGUGCAUAACACAUUCAAGUCGAACGAGCGUAGCAAUACGCGAGUGGCGGACGGGUGAGUAACGCGUAAGCAAUCUGCCUCCGUGUGGGGAAUAACAGCCGGAAACAGCUGCUAAUACAGCAUAAUACAGACAGACCGCAUGGUCUGACUGUCAAAGAUUUAUCGCACGGAGAUGAGCUUGCGUCCGAUUAGAUAGUUGGUGGGGUAACGGCCUACCAAGUCGACGAUCGGUAGCCGGACUGGGAGGUUGAACGGCCACAUUGGAACUGAGAAACGGUCCAGACUCCUACGGGAGGCAGCAGUGGGGAAUAUUGGGCAAUGGGCGAAAGCCUGACCCAGCGACGCCGCGUGAGGGAAGAAGGUCUUCGGAUUGUAAACCUUAGUCAACAGGGACGAAGCAAGUGACGGUACCUGUGGAGGAAGCCACGGCUAACUACGUGCCAGCCGCCGCAGUAACAC
rnacentral:rRNA from 1 species